rnacentral:rRNA from 1 species
GAUGAACGCUGGCGGCGUGCCUAAUACAUGCAAGUCGAGCGAACAGACGAGGAGCUUGCUCCUCUGACGUUAGCGGCGGACGGGUGAGUAACACGUGGAUAACCUACCUAUAAGACUGGGAUAACUUCGGGAAACCGGAGCUAAUACCGGAUAAUAUAUUGAACCGCAUGGUUCAAUAGUGAAAGACGGUUUUGCUGUCACUUAUAGAUGGAUCCGCGCCGCAUUAGCUAGUUGGUAAGGUAACGGCUUACCAAGGCAACGAUGCGUAGCCGACCUGAGAGGGUGAUCGGCCACACUGGAACUGAGACACGGUCCAGACUCCUACGGGAGGCAGCAGUAGGGAAUCUUCCGCAAUGGGCGAAAGCCUGACGGAGCAACGCCGCGUGAGUGAUGAAGGUCUUCGGAUCGUAAAACUCUGUUAUUAGGGAAGAACAAAUGUGUAAGUAACUAUGCACGUCUUGACGGUACCCAAUCAGAAAGCCACGGCUAACUACG